UACGUAGGGUGCGAGCGUUAAUCGGAAUUACUGGGCGUAAAGCAUGCGCAGGCGGUUGUGCAAGGCCGAUGUGAAAUCCCCGGGCUUAACCUGGGAAUGGCAUUGGUGACUGCACGGCUAGAGUGUGUCAGAGGGGGGUAGAAUUCCACGUGUAGCAGUGAAAUGCGUAGAGAUGUGGAGGAAUACCGAUGGCGAAGGCAGCUCGCUGGGACGGUACUGACGCUGAGGCGCGAAAGCGUGGGGAGCAAACAGG
rnacentral:rRNA from 1 species